AUACGAGGGGUGCAAGCGUUAUUCGGAAUUAUUGGGCGUAAAGGGUGUGUAGGCGGUUUGUUAAGUUUGUUGUUAAAUUCUUCAGCCUAACUGAAGAUCAGCAGCGAAAACUGACAGACUAGAGGAUGGAAGAGAGAAGUGGAAUUCCCGGAGUAGCGGUAAUAUGCGUAGAUCUCGAGAGGAACACCGAUGGCGAAGGCAGCUUCUUGGGCCAUUCCUGACGCUGAGACACGAAAGCGUGGGGAGCAAACAGGAUUAGAAACCCGGGUAGUCC
rnacentral:rRNA from 1 species